GUUGUUCAUGUAUUGAUGGUGUUCAGCACCAAGGACAGGCUUAGUUGCUCAUGUAUUAAUGGUGUUCAGUACCAAGGACAGGCUUAGUUGUUC
rnacentral:pre_miRNA from 1 species